rnacentral:rRNA from 1 species
GAUAAACGCUGGCUACAGGCUUAACACAUGCAAGUCGAGGGGAAACGACGGGGAAGCUUGCUUCCCCGGGCGUCGACCGGCGCACGGGUGAGUAACGCGUAUCCAACCUGCCUCUGACUGAGGGAUAACCCGUCGAAAGUCGGCCUAAUACCUCAUGGCAUCGUCUGCGGGCAUCCAACGACGAUUAAAGAUUUCAUCGGUCAGGGAUGGGGAUGCGUCUGAUUAGCUUGUUGGCGGGGUAACGGCCCACCAAGGCUACGAUAAGUAGGGGUUCUGUGAGGAAGGUCCCCCACAUUGGAACUGAGACACGGUCCAAACUCCUACGGGAGGCAGCAGUGAGGAAUAUUGGUCAAUGGGCGGGAGCCUGAACCAGCCAAGUAGCGUGCAGGAUGGCGGCCCUAUGGGUUGUAAACUGCUUUUAUGCGGGGAUAAAGUGAGGGACGUGUCCUUCAUUGCAGGUACCGCAUGAAUAAGGACCGGCUAAUUCCGUG